UUUUCAGAAUAGAGUACUAUCGGUGGCUGCGUUUAAGCAACAGACCAUUAUGUCAUCUUGCUUCAUAUAUUUUACUCUGAUCUUUUUUAGGAUGAAGCUCAUUUGAGAAAUCUUUCCUCUGCCUUUGGGGAGAAAUAAUUUGCCUCCUUCCACAAGACUGUUGAUGAGAACAGAAGAAGGAACAGAUGGUGGCACCAUCCUUUCUCAGCACCAAACACUGCCCUGGAGUUGUACAUGGUGCAAAAAAGCAUCCCCGUGUGGAGAAGCAGAUAGCGCUCCUGCAAAGUAUCAGCAUGGUGGAUUUUAUGGUGGAUUUCUACAGCUGAGGGACAACUGCCUGUGAGUUUCCAGGUCAUGUAACCUUGCUCACUGUUGUGGAAAGCCUGAGGAGCUCCACGAGGGGUUUAAAAGAGAGAUCUUCCUCUCCUGUUCAGGUGAGUAGUCAUGAAUUAGACCUUGGGGAGACUAAGGCACUAGAAAUACAUAAGGAAAUCUUUUGAUUACACAUAGCGUUAAAACAUGCUAAAAAUACCUCUGCUA
rnacentral:lncRNA from 1 species